rnacentral:rRNA from 1 species
ACGAGUGCGGGUCUUUGGGCCACCUCCCAUCCGUGUCUAUUGUACCCUGUUGCUUCGGCGGGCCCGCCGCUUGUCGGCCGCCGGGGGGGCGCCUCUGCCCCCCGGGCCCGUGCCCGCCGGAGACCCCAACACGAACACUGUCUGAAAGCGUGCAGUCUGAGUUGAUUGAAUGCAAUCAGUUAAAACUUUCAACAAUGGAUCUCUUGGUUCCGGCAUCGAUGAAGAACGCAGCGAAAUGCGAUAACUAAUGUGAAUUGCAGAAUUCAGUGAAUCAUCGAGUCUUUGAACGCACAUUGCGCCCCCUGGUAUUCCGGGGGGCAUGCCUGUCCGAGCGUCAUUGCUGCCCUCAAGCCCGGCUUGUGUGUUGGGUCGCCGUCCCCCUCUCCGGGGGGACGGGCCCGAAAGGCAGCGGCGGCACCGCGUCCGAUCCUCGAGCGUAUGGGGCUUUGUCACAUGCUCUGUAGGAUUGGCCGGCGCCUGCCGACGUUUUCCAACCAUUCUUUCCAGGUUGACCUCGGAUCAGGUAGGGAUACCCGCUGAACUUAAGCAUAUCAAUA